UGGGGAAUUUUGGACAAUGGGGGAAACCCUGAUCCAGCCAUCCCGCGUGUGCGAUGAAGGCCUUCGGGUUGUAAAGCACUUUUGGCAGGAAAGAAACGUCGCGGGUUAAUACCCCGCGGAACUGACGGUACCUGCAGAAUAAGCAUCGGCUAACUACGUGCCAGCAGCCGCGGUAAUACGUAGGGUGCAAGCGUUAAUCGGAAUUACUGGGCGUAAAGCGUGCGCAGGCGGUUCGGAAAGAAAGAUGUGAAAUCCCAGAGCUUAACUUUGGAACUGCAUUUUUAACUACCGGGCUAGAGUGUGUCAGAGGGAGGUGGAAUUCCGCGUGUAGCAGUGAAAUGCGUAGAUAUGCGGAGGAACACCGAUGGCGAAGGCAGCCUACUGGGAUAACACUGACGCUCAUGCACGAAAGCGUGGGGAGCAAACA
rnacentral:rRNA from 1 species